rnacentral:tRNA from 1 species
CAGGGAGACAACAAAAUGUUUAAUAUUAUUAUUUUGUCACCUUAGGUCGAUCGGUAUCUCACAUUCUUAAUUUAUUAAGAAUUUCAUUUCCUAAGUUUUUCUAGGUCACACCCAUUAUUUUUCCUGGGCCAUUAGCUCAGGUGGUUAGAGCGCACCCCUGAUAAGGGUGAGGUCCCUGGUUCAAGUCCAGGAUGGCCCAUAUCUCUAUGUUGGGGGUAUAGCUCAGUUGGUAGAGCGCCUGCUUUGCAAGCAGGAUGUCAGCGGUUCGAGUCCGCUUACCUCCACUGAUUACCACCUCUUCCAUAAUCUGUAGAUGGGAAAUUUUUUGAGUUGUGAUCAUCAUUCUGAACGAAUCUAGCUUCUUAAUGUAACCAUUAAGAUGCUGGACUCAUUGAAUUAAUUUCAUUGUUUUCAGAGAACCUUGACAACUGCAUAGAUUAUUUUUAAAGACAAUAAGCAUCUUUUAUGAUGCAGAUUUAUUAUUUGUGCAAAUGCAUUAAUAACAAUUCUAUUAAGCUGAUGCUUCA